GGUUCUGUGUUCUAGCCAGGGGCCUAAUUGUCUAACGCAAACGAUUGAAUUUGACAGUUAAAAUCGUACGUUUUUACUUGUCAAACGGCUAUUUCGGAUUGUGUAAGCCAAUGGAAAGCCAUCGGUUGGGCAUAGUUAGUUCAUUACGAUUAGAUCGUUAUUUUUAUACGAAGAGUGAAUGAUUUGUUAAGAUUUGACAGUUAUUUGCGAUUGUCUUCGAAUUGUGUAAAGUUUUAUGUUCAUAGCUUAUGUCAAAAACUUACGAUGGGUCUUGAGUCACCUUUGAUCGUAAAACGGACAAAUUGUGGAUGUCCAAAAUUCCAAAAUAAUAAUUUAUAUUUUAUUAAAUAUCUAAAAUUAAUAUUUUUUCCAUUCUAAAUCUCUCAAUUCAGUCUCCCCGUCCACAGUUAGCAUUUUUAGGACGAAACUUUGCGAAGUGUUUUGUUUGUAAACAAUGAACUCUGUUAAAAAGAGUAAUAAAUAAUAUAUUCUUUGCAAUGAACCUAUAAAGUCAAAACAAUGAAGUUAAUUGAGUGCUAUUAAUCGAUUUAUAUAGGAUGCUGAGACUUGGACUCUGAGAGAAAGUGAGAAAAAGAAUAUACACGCUCUAGAAAUAUGUUGAAGAAGAAUGCUUGCAUAUCCUGGACACAGUCUCACUCCUCCAAGAACUGGGGAUCAAACAGCAUCUUUCUUCCAGCAUCCAAUGUCUUCUUACACACACUUUCUUUGGACGUACCAGAGAAAGAGACGAUAAGUCCAUAGAGCGACAUAAACUCAAUACCUACGAUAUUUAAUACCAUACCAUGUUUUAGAUUUCUGCGACAUCUUGCAUGUUGUUGUAUCCAAUGUGUUGGGAUCUGUGUUCCAGGGCUUAUGUGUUUAGUUAAGUUUGCUGGUUAUUAAGCAAAAAGGAAUCGAAUUUCAUUUUUAAAAUUAUGAUUAUGGCGAACGAACUCUUUCGUCAUCGCUCAUAGGAUAUUUGGAAUAUGCCCUAUAACUGCAGACUCCAAUAUUGCAAAAAGCACCUGCAAUACAGUGGAAUAACAUAUUGGUGUGCUGAAGAAAAGAUGGCAAAGGCUUUUAGCUGAUAGGUCAUUGUACUGAUGACCCUGUUAUCUGGUCAAAUCAUAAAUGUGUGUGUAUUAUCAAAAUAUUUACAUAGAUUGUGAAAUGCUGAUGAUAUUUGAUUUGGUCUUUGAUAUUUGAAAAUAAAAGAAUACUUACUUCGCUAAGUUUGUUUUAUGUAGUCUUUUCCAAAACUAAAGCUUUCAGUUUAACAUUUUACUAUUAAUAUUUUUUUUUACCAUUACAAUAAUUAAAUAAAUUAUUCAAAAAAAUGUAGUUGUAAAAAUACAUUUAUAAUACCUGUGUAUGUUCACCCCCCUGCAGUUUCACCCACAUAAUUCCUGUUCCCGUGGGAAGGAAUAUAUGGCCUAUAAUACUCAAAUGUGGAUUUUUAUUGGUAAAAUAAUCUUCAACAUUGGUUCAGUAGGUCCAGUGUUUACCCCUACAAUCUCACAAACUGUAUCUUUUUAUUACAGUAUAUUGACUACUAGUAUUCUAAGAAUUAUGAAAAAGACACCUCUGAGGGUGAAAUAGGGGUUGGAAGUUUAUAAAAAAAAGAUUUUUUUAAGUUUAUUUAUUAUAAUAAUAAUAAAUACAGUAAACAUAGACUUUCAGGUAGACAUUUUUUAAACCCUGAAACCACAAAGCUUAAAAAUAAUCAAAUAUAUACUUCUCAUCCAAACAGUCGGCCUGUACAGUACUUGCAGACACUGUUUUGAUGAUUAGUAUAUUUUCUUAAAUCAGAAAAACGAGUCAUCAUCAUGGAUCAGUCAUCAAUCAUGGAUUCAGCCCUGCCCACUGUACUUGACAACAUAUUGGCCAUACUUAAAUGUUAAAGCAUGUUUAUUUU